CUUAGGGUUCAUCGUUGAUGAAGGGCUAGGGCGGUGGAUGCCGCGGACGGGAUGUCUUGGGGUUGGGGUCGCGACCCUUCCACUCUGCCCAUUGAUCGGAGCUCCAGCUUCUCUCUCCACUCUCGCAAGGUAAGUUCGUUUAGAUAGGGCUUUUCUUUGCGUUAGCAAUAAGACAAAAGCGAAGCUGCUUGCAACGACCUAAGAGGUAUGCUAGAGGCGAUCAAGAAAUCGUGUUGAAACUCUCAACGUUUGAAGACACCAGGUUCGCUCUUUCGAUUGCAACGCAAAAGUGAGCCAGUGACACUACAAACAACUCAAACAAGCAAAGUGAAACAACGAGCCAAGGAACUCUCAACGCGAAGGAUGUGGACAACGCUCUGUGAAUACAAACAAACUAGAUCAACGACACUUAGUUCCAUGUUGCCAGGUUCGCGUGUGUUUCGAAAUUUCUUGUCAUGAAGAAGCCAACAUGUCGGUGCUGCUCAACGACGAUAAGAACUGAAAAACGCCUUGUCACAGCGUGUGCCAAGAAGAAAAAUGCUACUAGAUUGGAGAGAUUUUGUGUCAACGUUUUGGAGAGAUUGUCAGUGCUUUGAGUUAUGUUGUUGCUGCGCUCAACGCAAGACCGGUGAGCUGAGAAACAACGUUGGGCAUCUGCGAUCUUCAGAACUUCAAUCCAGCUGAAGACGUACAUGACAAUGACAACAACAAUCAUGAUCCGUCGCUGAUCCUUGGCCGGACCGGUCAACUGCCGCACCUCUCCACCUCUCAAGGGACAAGAAAGCGAAGCUGCUAAGAGGUAUGAUAAACGAUAAAAGAAAGGAGGCGAUCAAGAAUUCGUGUUGAAACUCUCAACAUUUGAAGACACCAGGUUCCCUCUUUCUUUUCGAUUGCAACACAAAAGGGAGCCAGUGCUAAGAUGAUGUGCUCAAACAACUCAAACAAGCAAAGUGCAAAACAACGGGGAUUUGUUCUAAUUUCUUGUCAUGAAGAAGCCAAGUGACAGCUCAAUGACGAUAAGACGUGUGCCAA